UGCCAGACUCCUACGGGAGGCAGCAGUGGGGAAUAUUGCACAAUGGGGGAAACCCUGAUGCAGCGACGCCGCGUGAGUGAAGAAGUAUUUCGGUAUGUAAAGCUCUAUCAGCAGGGAAGAAAAUGACGGUACCUGACCAAGAAGCCCCGGCUAACUACGUGCCAGCAGCCGCGGUAAUACGUAGGGGGCAAGCGUUAUCCGGAUUUACUGGGUGUAAAGGGAGCGUAGACGGCCAUGCAAGUCUGAUGUGAAAACCCGGGGCUCAACCCCGGGACUGCAUUGGAAACUGUGCGGCUGGAGUGUCGGAGAGGCAAGUGGAAUUCCUAGUGUAGCGGUGAAAUGCGUAGAUAUUAGGAGGAACACCAGUGGCGAAGGCGGCUUGCUGGGCUUUUACUGACGCUGAGGCUCGAAAGCGUGGGGGGCAAACAGGAUUAGAUACCCCGGUA
rnacentral:rRNA from 1 species